UUGAGAAACGGGUAAAGUCCACCGACCUAAAAUGACGUAGCCGACAAGUUGGCAGAUGGCAUCCUAGAACGGUUCUCAUGGGUCUGUAAAUCUCUAUAAAUUCCUAAAACCCUAUCUGCCUUCUCUGUACGGCGCCUUCGUCCCUCUGAGGACGCUGUUCAUUCCUCUUCCUAAAAUGGUUUCCCUUUCUUCUCUUUACUGAGUUGAUGUUGAAUUAAGGGAAUUCAUUUUAGGAAGGGAAUGAAUACUGUCAUCAGAGAGAUUCUCUGUUGUUUGUAGUCGGAGGAAUUGGUUACCAGUGUGGGGUAGCUUCUAGAUUAGAUUACAAAUCUACAAGCAUUGGAUCUGGUGAGUGGAGAAGCAAAGCAAGGAGUUAUUGAUCGGCGGAUGAGAACGGGAGGCAGAGAAAGGCCAUCCACAAACCAACUAUUGAAAUCGGUAUCAUAGCUUAAGGAUUUACCUGCGCUGGCUGCUCAAAUAUAAAUAUUAAUCCUUGGAAAUUGUAAAGAAAAUGAAUACUGUGUUAUCGAAACAGUUAAUUUGUCAAAUUUCUUUUUCUUUCUGUGACAAAAUCUCUAUUAUUUCUUUCAGUCCUAGAGAAAGAAAAGAUCCGUCCUUUCUGUGGACCCAAUUAAUCCUUGUGUAUAGAUAGAGAAAUGGUGCAAUGUUUACAUGUUGUUUUAACUGCGCUUUGGUUGUUUGGAUCCUGAUAGAUUUAGAUACACCAGUUGUUUCAAGUUUUUCCUUUUUGUUCGGAUGUUUACUCUUAAGCUGUUGCAUGGGUACAAGGAUAUCCCUGUGAGAUUGUAAAUCUGCAGGACGUAAGUACUGCUCCGGGUGAGCGGAUGGAUAACAGAUCUGGGGUUAGGGAUGAUAGAACAAGCUCUGGCAUGGGCAGGGCAACUGAGGAAACGUUUGUUUUGAUGGAAAAAGGCAGAGCUUGGCCUCCAUUUCAGUUUUGACAGUUUAAAAUUGAUCCAAACCUAAUCGAUUCGGAUUUUAUAAAUUUUAUUCUUCUUUUCAAAUCGGUUUGGUUGGACAUUAUUUUUAAUGAUUUCGUUUUGGCAGUGCAAUUCAGAAUUUUUUGUGAAGCAAAAUGUACAUAGUCUCCAGUGCAAUUCAAAUUGUUGCCUGCAGGUGCGUUUCUGUCCAGAUCGAUAAAUUAUUGAUGAUGACUCGUGAAAAUAAAUCUUGGAAGGUGCGAAUGGGCCGCCAAAAAGUAUUAUUUCUUCUCCUUUCGUUGAUGCUUAUAUCCAUAUAAAGAUGAUUUGAUUCGACCUAGUGCGAUAUCUCUAGAGCUUUCCUUGCUGUUUAUGGUUUCUCUUUGAUCCAGUAAUUUUUAGCUCACUAUGAGAUUAGAUCUGACUUUUCUAAGGUUGCAUGUAUUCUCUUUUUUCUUCUUGAUCUUCAAUUAAUUUGGUUAUAGUAUUGUCGCUACUAUUGUAAGAGUUUUCCGAUGAUGACCAUCGGAUUUAUAUACUUUAUGACAACACUUUAAAAAAAGUUUUAUUUUUUA